GUCUCAGUUCGGAUUGUAGGCUGAAACUACGCCUACAUGAAGCUGGAGUUGCUAGUAAUCGCGAAUCAGCAUGUCGCGGUGAAUACGUUCCCGGGCCUUGUACACACCGCCCGUCACACCAUGAGAGUUGGCAAUACCCAACGUACGUGAUCUAACCCGCAAGGGAGGAAGCGUCCUAAGGUAGGGUCAGCGAUUGGGGUGAAGUCGUAACAAGGUACC
rnacentral:rRNA from 1 species